rnacentral:rRNA from 1 species
UACGGAGGGGGCUAGCGUUGUUCGGAAUUACUGGGCGUAAAGCGCACGUAGGCGGCUUUGUAAGUUAAAGGUGAAAGCCCGGGGCUCAACUCCGGAAUUGCCUUUAAGACUGCAUCGCUAGAAUUGUGGAGAGGUAAGUGGAAUUCCGAGUGUAGAGGUGAAAUUCGUAGAUAUUCGGAAGAACACCAGUGGCGAAGGCGACUUACUGGACACAUAUUGACGCUGAGGUGCGAAAGCGUGGGGGAGCAAAGCAGG